AGGGCACAAUCACACACACACUCACACCAUACACUACAGACACUUUGGACAUGCCAAUCAUCCUACCAUGCAUGUCUUUGGACUGGCGGAGGAAACCGGAGUACCCGGAGGAAACCCCCGCAGCACAGGGAGAACAUGCAAACUCCGCAUACACGGUGGGAAUCAAACCCGGAGGUGUGAGGCGAACGUGCUAACCACUAAGCCACCGUGCACCCUCUUCCUUAUCAGUGUUAAGCAAUAUAUUUCUGCAGACAUUAUAUACAAAUACCACUCAGAUUUGCAUAUUAUUUUAACCUUACUCUUUUGCUGCGAGCUUGUUAACAAACCUGGAUAUCAUGAUAUAUAUUAUGUACUGUAAAGUAUUGCGAUAUGGUAUUUUUGUCACCACGUAAGAGUACGUGUGCUCGCGUCGUGAAAUAUCCAACUAAGAAGAGUCUGAAGUAAAAUAUAUCAAAUAUAGCACAAUUACUCACCGCAAAAUUAUUCUUGAGCGAUAUUAACCAGUGAGAAAUUGUAUUGGUUCACUGGGUGCUCAUAUCAUCAAAACAUUACAUCAGGAAUCUUUUUUAAACACAGGAUGUCAUGCUAUUGUGUUAUUAUUAACAACACACACACGCACACAGAGACAGAGAGAGAGAGAGAAAAUAUACGGGAAACUUCAAAACAAUGCACCUCUAUGGAAGAAAAAGAUUUGUUUCGCUCUUCAUUUGAAACGACAGAGAGACAUGCAAAGACACUAUGAGCUCGAAACGGUUUCAUCAUCACUGGACAUUAAAUUUUAAUUUAUAGGAAUUUAUGAAACAGCCCAAGGCUGGCUGAAACGUCAUCUGCUGGAUGUUGCUUGUGUUAAUAAAGAACAUCCUACUCAGUAAAGUGAACAUUGUAGGCAUGUAAAGUCUGCUCCCUGUUCAUCUGCUCUCACACUGCAUCCUUCAUCCAUUACUCAAAGUUUUUUCGACAUGAAAAGCUCAUGACAAUUUCAUUCCUCAGAUUUGCAUUCUUGAGAGGUAAAGACACGAGACCUCCAAACUCCUCAUUUACUCACCUCCUCUGCUCAUGACACAUCCAUCAUAAGGGCUGAAGAUGAGCUGUUCUCGUUCUGUCGGUCAAACGACCAGAAAUGAUGCUUUAAAUCAGACGAGCAGUGCCACGUUUCUUGGGCAGCAUCCCAGAUACCACAAGUACCUCUCCAGCCCACUGCCGUUUUUCUUCUCUCUUAUUGUUUUUUUUUCUACAGAACUCACAAAUAACUGCUCACUUUUUUUUUUCGAGCACAUCCACCCUCAACUUUCCCUCUCUGUGCCGAUGGAAGCUGCAGCCUUUUCGAAUGGAGUGCUUGAAAACGAUGCAGUAAAGAUAAAAUAAAGUUUACACAGACUUGUUUACUGGAACAGGUUUUAAGCUGAAGCGGAGAGAGUUUUUGUUAGCAUGAGUAGAAUAGACAAGCUCACAUCUCGGUGUGUGGUACAGGUCGAACGCCCAUCAGCUCCCAGGAACUGGCUGUGGGUUUAAGACUUACAUUCCUCACUCUCACUACUGCAUACAUUUCCUGUGAGUUUCACUCUAUUACUGAAUAGAUUGUAGUAGUUACUGAAUAGCUUUAAUGUGAAGUACUGAAUUUUAAGAUGGGUGUUCAAGCAGCUAAAAUCCUGGGUAAAAAGGUACAAGUCAUUGGCUUUUGCCCAUCAUGGAGCUUCUGUGCAACAAGAGCUUUUGCCCAAACAGGGUCUACUAUCCAAUGUGAAUCCUAACUUUCUGCACAAUACGAGACAUUAUAACAAAGCGACACUGAGCUUUGGCCAGUCAGGGGCUUCUGUGCUACAUGGAGCUUCGGCCAAUGAGGGGCUUUACCCAGCCAGGGGCUUCUGCCCAGCCAGGGGCUUCUGCCCAGCAUGAGGCUUUGCUCAUCCAGGGGUUGAUCAGCUCGUCUGCAACUGGACUCCAGGCUCCAGCUGUUGCGUACAAACGCCGGACUCCUGCGCGCUCGCGCUCAACACAAUUACAUGCCGAAACGCGUUAAAAAGCCGCUUUAUUUUUCCAAUCUUCGACCUACACCGAGUGCUGAAGUGUGGAAAUGUUUCCGCUCCUUUGUUCCAUAGUGAGUGUUUGAGACUACAAACUCCCAGUGAGACGGUAAACAAAAGCUGCAGCAGUCUUCACAAUCCCACUGUUUACCGUUAAUCCAUGGCGGAGUGUCAGAGGAAUAAUAACCUCCACCUCCUCCACCACACACACCAGCUUCUCUGAGAGCCCCGGGGGACCUUCACAAAAACAGACUGCACUUUACGGUUUAGAAGACGAGAGGGUUAUUUAAAUACGAUGAAGCGGCACUUUUUUGCCUCGAGCAUCAACACAUACAUUACAGCAACACUUCCGAGUGAGAAACAGAGAACAUUCAGUGGACUAGUAUGAAAAAGUGUGACAGACUUACUGUGCAUUCACUUCCUUCAUGUUACUUUUCCUGAAUCCAGCACAGAACCACGGAGCCACUUUGUUUCAGAUCCACUGUGGGGUUGUUAUCCUCCUGCUCACUUCAAAAGGCUCUCGGACCAAAACGCUCAUUAUCCUGAAAGCCUGCUUCAUGUGAGGCUCCUGGGGGAAAACAUCAUAAAAGGGCACUUUUACAUCAUCAGGACAUCAGUAGAUGAUGCAGAUCUUCUUCACUGAUAUAUCCAGGUGUUCUUUUCGUUUUUGUAAAGUCAUUAAAUACAGUUACGGUGAUGUACCAACUCCUGAGGAUAUGUGAGGAAAGAUGAAGCGGGAUUUUUGCCAUUUGGGGGCACAAGUACUAGUGGGAGGAGUCAGUUUCAUCUAGCCAAUCAGACGCGAUCCAAGUUUAAGCCCUGCCUCUUUAAACCCCUCUGCCAGUUCAGUAUGUUAAAUAUUCCCUGUUACUGAACAAGAA
ensembl:lncRNA